rnacentral:lncRNA from 1 species
AUAUCUCCGGCUAUGAAAACCUGUGUGUUUUGGGGGAGGGUGGUGAAGCUUAAGGGACCGAGUAUGUGUGUGUGUGUGUGUGUUUGUGUGUGUGUGGUGUCACCUGUGUGUGCCAGUGUGUGAAUGCAUGGACUUGUCCUUUCUCCUCUCCACCCAUUCAGAUUUGCUCUCAUCCUAAAAGGCCCAGGUCAAGCCUCCUCCCUUUUUUCUAGUUCCUAACCUCCCGCCAUCCCCUCUCUCAGUCAUUGCUACCCCCAUCCUUUGGUGGUGGUCUGGCUGGCUUAGAGGGGAUCUGCCUUCUAGAACUCCAUCUCGCACAAACUGCAGGGCUGGGUGGGGCUGUAGACACAUCCCGUCCCCUGAUCAGCCAUCAGCUUCCCUCUCCUGAGGCCAACUGCCCCCCGCCCAACCGCCAUGGGGUGCUUGAAUGCAGAAGGAGCUGGCAGCCUCAGCAGAGGCAGGUGGUGGCAGGCUCCCUGCCCCCGAGUGGCCAGCUGGCCCCCAGGCAGCAGGAUGCAGCUCCUCACUGCACUCUCUCAGUGAGCUCCCAGGCACAGGUUGGUCAGGGAGCCUGGGGACCCCAGAGACUUCCCCCACCCUCCCCCUAGAGGCCCCCAGUCUAGGGCCUUCUCCCUGAGCUCAGGCCCCCAAGGGGUGGUAGGCUCCUUCUGGUCUAAACCCUUUGUCCCUCUCUGUCCCCUACUUCCCAUGACACUGGUUCCUGUGGGAGCCCUUUCGCUUUUGCUGUAGGUACCAGAAGGUCCAUUUUCUUUAACCCACGGGGCGUCAGCCCUCACUCUUGGCAAGGUGAGCAGAUGCCAGAAGGCGUGGGGCCACGUCGGUCCACCAGCAGGCCAGGUUGUCCUUCCCUCAGUCCUGGCAAGGCAUGCCUCUGCCUCAGGGCCCUUGUUCUAGCUAUUUCCUCUGUCUGGAAUGUUUUCUUCCAGACCUUGCUUGGCUCCUUCUCCAAGCUUUUGUUGAAAUGUCACCUUUUCAGUAGGGCCUCCGUGGACCACCCAGUUUAAUACUGUGACCUGUGUACACAUGGGCACACACCCCUCUUGUCACCCCCCCCAGCACAGCCCCUCCCCCUCACCCCCCCAGCACAUUACAGCUCUCAGCGUGGUUCCAUCUCCUCUCUUCCCCUGUGUCACCUGCCACCUACUGACACACCUGACUUCACUUGCUUCAUCUACUGUGUCUCCCCAACAAGAAUAUUGACCCCACGAGGGCAGGGAUCUUUGUUUUGCUCGUGGAUGUUUCCCAAGUGCCUGGAACUGCUGGGCCAUUUUAGAUGCUCUACAGACCUUUGUACAGUGUUGUUAGGACUGUCACCCAGAGGAGAGCAGCUGCACAAGCAAAGGCUGGUCCUCUGAGGGGCCAGACGGGGGCUAGCUGUCGGACCCCGCAACCUGUGGUCAGAGGGGAUGGACGCUGUGCUCCCUCCCAGGGGAGGACCAGCUCCCUUCCACCCCACCUGCCCCCCUCCCUGGAACCACACCCCCAGGGCAGCCUUGCACACGUCUGUUGGCUCACACCUGCAGACCCUGCACCCAGGGCCCCACCUCCCGCCAGCCCUUGUGCACUCGCCCUUGACGUGGUGGCUGUGGUUUCAAGGCCUUAGAGGUGCAGAUUGGAGUCAGGGCAUCCUGUUCUCUGUGGCUGCAGCAGCAGGUGGGGGUGGGGGACAGGUUCCCCUGCAAACAGGCACACGCAAAGGCCCCUUCUCCCUGCCUUCUUACACACGCGAAUACACACAUGUGCACGCAGACAGAUGGACACCGGGUGGCCCCCGUAGGCUGGCAGCUCUUAGGCCCCAGGCACAGGAACCGAGCACCCAUCUGUAGCCGACCCACUGGGGGCAGGGAGCUGCUGGCUCCCUUCCCUGUGCCUGAGCUCCCACCUUCACAACUUCAUGCCCAGCACAUGGCCUGCCAACCUCAUCUCAGGUCUUUUCUUUGGGGGAAGUCUUGUUCUGCCGCCUUCUGUCCUAACCACAUCCCUGUGGGAGGGGUGGUGUAUUCAGCCCUCAGUGGGGUCCAGUUGUCCAGCCAGUCCUGGGAGCAUACUGAUCCCUGGCUCAGAACCCUGCCAUGGCUCCCCAAUGCCCGCCAGGUCCAACCCAAACCCCUGGUCCUGGGCCUCCCCUGCUCCAGGGAUCUCCACUUUGAGGAGAGGUGAGGGUGCCCUCUGGAGCCAGGCAUCCUGGUUUGAAUGCCAGUUCUGUGUGACCUCAGGCAAGUCGCUUAACCUCGCUGUGCCCCAGCGUCCUGCCUCACAGAGCUGUUGUGAGAAUUACAUAGGUUUAUAUAUGCAAAGCAUUUAGCACAGCACCUGCUCUGCAAGAAAGUUGUCAAUAAAUGAUAGCUGGAAAGGAUGUCUGUUUCCUGCCAGAAAGGACCUGAGAAAUGUCUUCCAAUGGGGCUUGUGGCUCAGCUCUCAGCUCUGGCCUUUCAGACUGAGCCAGCAGCUUCCAGGCCACCUGGGAGCUGGCUGGAGACUCAGAGUGCCAGGCCCCCUGGGAGUCCUAAAGCAGCAGGUGGGGGGAGGGGCCUGUACACUGUGGCCUGUAGCCAUUUGUGGGGUGGGAGUCCCCUAAGCCCCCAUCCCAGCCUCAGACUGGUCCACCACCUGCAUCCUCUGUCUUCUGGCCUUGCCAAGGCCCCUCUGCCUUGCAAGGCUCCUGCAGGAAGAAUGCCUGUCAACUUUGCCACCUCAGUGCCCACAGCUCCUAUUUUCCUAGAGCCUCAGUUCCUCAAGAAGAAAGGGAAUAAAAACACCCACAUCCAGGGAGGUCAGGGAUGAGCAGUGCACCACCGAGGCAGCCAGUCAGGGCUGAGUAUUGCUACUGGCUGCACCCCAGGCCUGGUGGGUCCCGCCUGCCAUGCUGGAGUCCCCGCAGGGAUGAGGGAAAGACCUGUUGAUGGAGGGGGGCUGGGAUGAACUCUGGGAGCUGAGAGGGAGCACAGUGACCUGGGAUGAACUCUGGGAGCUGAGAGGGAGCACAGUGACUGGAGCCGGAGGGUGGCUGGUGCUUCCCCAAAGCGGCCUGAAUGAGGGAGGAAGGAAGGGAGGGCGAGCUGAGCACACCCUGGGCCCCAGAGGAAGUUGAAAGCCAGGGCCGUGGUGUGACAGUUCAAGGGCCCUAUACCACAGCGCUCCACUCCACCCGCACCUGCUGACGUCAGUGGGAAGUGCAGGACCCCGGCACCCCACCCCACUGGCUCUGGGUCUGUGAGGCAGGGUCCCAGCCUGGAGCCUCCCCCGGCUCGUCUCUGCACAGGUGGGUGGCUGGUGGUCCCUUGUGUCUUUAGGUCAGCAUUGCCCUCUCCCUGAAUGAAAGGAGCACCUCUUCAUCUCACCCCAUGGGCUCACCUCUCCCAGGUGUGACCCUAGAGUCUAUUAAACACCUGUUAUAUACCAGGUGGUGACACAUCCACAAGCUCAUUUAAUCCUUCACAAUACCCAGAGGAAGGCAUUUUACAGAUAAGGAGACCACCUCAGAGAGGUUCAGUAACCUGCCUGAGGUUGCACAGCUUGGAGGUGGCCCAGCUGGCCUUCCAACGCAGGCCCCCCGACAUGGAGUUCCUCCCGCCACCUGUGGGCAGGUGGAUUCAUGGUGGAGGUGCCCUCAGGGAGCUGGAGCAGCCGGCCCUCUUGUUUGUCAAGGAGGAAAUGGACACCCAGCACUGGGAGUGAGUGCCCCAGGCCAUGCCACAGGCUCCUGGCAGAACCAGGCAGGAUUAGAGAACUUUCUUUUGGCACUGCCUGCCUGGUAGGAGGGGCUCUGCCGGGAAGUCUCCUUCCUUUACUGCCUCUGGGUCUCUGCUCAGAGGCUACCUCCACAGAGAGAAGCUUUUCAGGGCAGUUCCAGCAGAAGGAGAGCCCUGUCACCCUCAUCUCCUGGCCCCGCUUUAUUUUCUUUCAUGGCACUUAUACUGUCACUUGCAGUUUUAUGUGUCCAGUGAUUUGUUUAUUGUCUCCCGCCUUCCCUGCGACUAGAAUGUGAGCACCGUGACUCCAGCAGGGUCUGUCUUGUUCCCUUGCUUAUACUGGUACCUGGCACACACUCAGCAGUGUUUUGUGGAAUGAAUGAAUGACCGAAUGAGAGGAGUCAGUAGGUAAAGGAUGAAGCUGAUGCUUACGGGGCAAGUUUGGUGUGAAGACAAACUUCUUAAUGGCAAGCUAAAUAGAUCCUUCUAGGUGGAGGAGGGGAAUGAGCAAUAAUUUAGAAAAGGGAAGAGGCCACGUACAGCCAUGUGGUCUGGUACACAGACCAUAAAGUGAGUGGUCCCCGCCCCCGCCAGUUGUACAGUUCUCAACUCAUACAGCAGUACCUGGCGCCCCAGGGGAUGGGGAAGAACCCGACAGUCUUGGGCCCCUCGGCGGGGAUGAGCAGAGGCAGCUCUGCAGGUGCCUGCAGCUGGAGGAACAGGCUGUACCUUCCACGAGGACGCCACGUGGUCGUGGUUAGCAGUUUGCCAUCCGGUGGCGUUGUCACCACAGACAGUGGUCCAACCAGGGGGAGCAACUGUUAUGCUGUUAGCAAUCUCUGGUGCCUGGAGUGCCCAGCGGGACGCGGGUGGGGAAACCACCUUGACACACCCCACAAACACCGAACGCGGUGGACGAAGAUAAUCGAGACAGCGGGAGGGAGGGCUGUUUCCUGAGGCAGCUCUGGAGGCGGAGGACACUGUGUUCCGAGACGUCUCCACUGAGCAGAGGGCUGGCUGAGCGACCGGUCUCGGCCUCCCCCCCUCCCCAGCCCCACAGGCUGGGCACAACAACAAUCAGCCUGUGGUGGUGGGGCCCGGCUUCGAUGAGUCACCUUGCCCACAGCGGGCCUUGCUGGGAGAUGUUAUCAGCGCUUCUGCUCACUUAAUUCCCUGGUUGACAUCACCACCGCCUCCAUCCUUUCCUUCUCGGCACUGCAGCCUGCAGCCUGGCGCAUCCUGGAAGAGAAGGCGGUGCAGGGCUCUUGCCAGGAGCUACCAGGGCGGGUAAAUUAGGACCCUCAGCUCUUUGGCCUUUAGCCUCCGGGCGCUUGGCUUAGUUCCUUGCUGCACACGGGCCUGGGUUCAUCUCCCAGGAAAUGCCAUCUGGAGUCAGGUCUGAGAGACACCGUCCCACUCCCGCCCCGUACCUGUCCCCUCCCUCCUGUUCAGAUGUGGGCCAAGCUGCUCCCCUGGGCAGUGUGUCCAGACCCUGGGGUCCAGUCCCCGAGUCCAGCCCUCCGCUGGCUCAAGCCUUCGCUCCUCAAUUCCAUCUUGUGCAAGCCCAGCUGCCUCUGACUGCGCUGCCUCCCUGUCCAGCCACCCUGCCUGGGGAUACAGCUCCCUCAGACAUCCUCCAGCUCCUUCCUCUGCCAUCCCCCGCUCUCGGGGCAGCCUCCUGGGAGCCCAAGCCAGUCCCUUCCCUCCGUAGCCCAGCAUUCCCUCUCUCCUCCCCUCAGUGUCACUGUUCCAGUGCUGAUCCAGUGUGGUCAGUGGCAUACGGAGGAUGCUAUGGGCUCAGCAGAGUGGUGAGUGACAGGGGUGACCAGAGACUGUGCUGUUCCUCCCUUUAGAGACGGACAGCAGGGGGGCGAAGCUCGGUGCCAGGAGAGAGGCUCAGGACCCGGUCUGUGAUGGGAGGCUGCCUGAGCCUGGCCUGCCAGGGAGGCGGUGAGGGAAGUGGGUGGGGAGGGUGGGGAGAAGAGCCAACCCUUUGAACUGCCCCAAGAGCAGCCUCUGUGGCCUCAGGAGACAGCGCCUCAAAUGUCGCUGCCCCGGGCCAGGGAAGGGGGAAGAGGAGGUUUCUUAACACCAGUCACUUUUACUCUAGUUAUUUGACCAAAACGAAUUGUUCUUAG